ensembl:lincRNA
GCAAAGGCCUGAGAAAGCAAAACAAACUAAACUAGAGACAAGGUGAGAUAAGCCUCGAGAAAAAUUAGAGCACAAAAGGCAAAGAACUGACUGAAUCCACUGAUGGGAUCCCUGUCAAAGCAGUAACAGAAAAAACUAUUUUUGCAUGCCCUCUCCUCCUUUGUCUGCCCUCCAAAAAGCUACACAGAAACUUCUACUAUUAGGCCCUUCCUUGGCCAUUUUUGUCCUCUUUACAUCUAAACAAAAACCCAGGAGAGGGAAGAUGAGGCCCACAUUGGAUUGCAAAGAUAAUAAAUUCUGUCUGGGCUCUUGGAUUCCCACCAUGGAACUCAUCUCUACAGAGAGGCAAGUGAGGCAAAACAGCUGGAUAACGCAUAUACUCUUUCUCUGUCCCUUUGUAAAAGAAUCUAAAGAACAAACCAAAACAAUGACAGUAUUCUGACAAUCAGUUAAAAGUUGUCAGAGUGGCUGCUACCCCUCAUUCAGAGAACAGGUUCCCUAGAACCUCCUGGUGAACUGCCCACUGAAUCCACUGGGGAUAUUAGCCAGACUGGAUUCCUUUCUAGAGGCAGAUCCCUCGUUGUAUGGAGCUGGCCAAAGCUGCACUGGCAACAGUGAGACUCUGGCUGGGACUAUUCUCCCCUGGGUUCUCAAAGGCUAUCCCAUGGAAGCUGGGUCCUGACAGCCCAACUGGGUAUCCAGCAGAGAAAUCUCCAUUUAACUAUCAUCCCACCUCUACUGCUCUGUGAGGUGACAGGUAAACUCUCUUGGUGCUCUUCAUGCAUUCCCUCUUCCAGGGUAAUGCUGGAUUCCAUCAGUGCCCUCUCUUAAGCCUCUAUUAACUACUAAUCAAACCACGAAGUUGGGUAUUUCUCUCUUUGAUAGGGUGACAGGUACCCUACUCCUUCUCCAGAUAUGUCUUGACAGAUUUACUAGGCUGGGAACACGUUAGAAUCCUAGCCCACCCUACUGUCCUUGAUGUUUGGGUCUCCACCUUGACUUUCAUAGGAUCAAUAUCUAACAAAUAACCCCCUAGAUUACCUGAGAACUGUUUGCUAGGACAAAGGUCAUAGUCAAGGGAAAGUUUCCCCACCUCCAGGGAAUUUUAUCAUUCCACCUCACUAAAAGCUAGCAUUGCUCAGGGAGGAGAGUUAAUUUUGAAACUCACACAACUAUUUCCUUCCACCUCAGGAAAAUAAAAACAAAAACCUAGUACUACUCUAAAUAAAUGCCCCUGGGCACCCCAUCCCUCUCUCUUGGAGGUUGGGCUAAGGCAUAUCAUUAUGAAGGCUGUGUAGGGCCUCAAAAUUUAUUCAAUCCAAAUCCAUCUAUCCACUAUGAGGAUCAGGCCCUGGAUACCCCCUCAGAACAAUGCACGGACACUAAACCCAACUAAUUUCAACCUGCCCCACAGAGCAGUGAUCCACUCUCUUGCUAUCAUAAACAGAGACAGAAAAAGAGCAAGUAACAAAGGAUAUAGGGUGGCACCCUAUCUCCUAACCUCUUACCACCCCCAAAUGCUAAAACUCUGAAGGACACUUAUUACAUACUGUCCUAUAGGCUGCUUGCUUCCGGUAGCAAAAAUGUACUCUAGUACCUUUAAUACAGAGGAACAGCUAGGAAAAGCAGGUUACUGUAGUAAGCUUAAUACAGGGAAACAGCUAUCAAGGAGUAAUUUACUGUAAUAACUCUAGUUCAAAAUAAGAUAACCAUCCAAUUCCCUAAACAGUCCUUGUUUUCAGUGUUAAAGGGUUUCUAUUUCUCCCUUUUUCAACUCUCACUGGUGUUAGAGUUACAAGGGAUCUCUGUGCUGAUUGGUCAUGCCUAAAGUAUUUCUCACUAGUCUAUUUAUAGUUAUAAACCUGUAACAGAUUAUUUUACCUCCAAUGGAUAACAAGGAUGUGGUAUUUUUAUACAGUGGAGUAUUACUCAGCUAUUAAAAAAAAAUAAACUCGAGGCUUCUGUAGGUAAAUGGAUGCAACUAGAGACCAUACUCCCAAGUGAAAUAAAUCAGAC